AGCACAAAGAGAGGGACUAACUGAUGC
rnacentral:piRNA from 1 species